AGCAGUGUUCUUAAAAGUUGGCAAACCUGUUUUACUUGUUUCUCAACCUUUGCAGAUCAUUGCUUAUGAAACACUGGUAUUUACAGUAAAUAUCUUGUUUUAGAUGUAGGCCAGCCCCAUCCAACCGUUUGUCCUUCAACAACUUCGCCCUUUGGUAAGUUGGCACGUGGUUUGAGGUGGCCUUUGGUGAUGGAGUGUCUAAAGGGAAAAGCUAAAGGGAAAGGCAUGAAGAGAGUAACAUUUCCAGGAGCACGUGAUCAUACCAGGGAUGGACGAGCCCUUGAGAGGAGAAAGGAUUAUCUCUUGUCUGUGUUAUGUGACCUUUGGCUAAUUCCUGCAGCAUCCUGACUUCAUAGCCUUUUGUGUAAAUGAGAAGAUUUGGAUGUUAUACACCCCUUUAUCCCUGUGACUGCAUCCGGUGAUCUGUUUUACUGUGCAUGUGUGUAUGUCAGUAGCUCACAGUGUUAAUAUUUAGCAGAUUGAGUCCUAGAUUAAACCAUCUGAAU
rnacentral:lncRNA from 1 species